GUCUUGUCAGUGAUGUUCUCAAUGUCCGAACCAAUGAUAAAAUAUGAUUCCAGCAUAUCUAGAUAACUGAGACAAGAC